GAUGAAGAACGUAGCGAAAUGCGAUACUUGGUGUGAAUUGCAGAAUCCCGUGAACCAUCGAGUCUUUGAACGCAAGUUGCGCCCGAAGCCACUAGGCCGAGGGCACGCCUGCCUGGGCGUCACACGUCGUUGCCCUCCCAUCUACUCCUUCGGGAUUGCGGGGGGGGGGGGGGCGGAUGAUGGCCUCCCGUGCACCUAGCCGCGCGGUUGGCAUAAAUAUCAAGUCCUCGGCGACGCACGCCACGACAAUCGGUGGUUGCAAAACCUCGGUUGCCCGUCGUGUGCAUUCGUCGCGCAUCGAGGGCUCGAAAAAAUGCCUUGCCUUGCUCGGCUUUCAACGGGACCCCAGGUCAGGCGGGGUUACCCGCUGAAUUUAAGCAUAUCAAUAAGCGGAGGA
rnacentral:misc_RNA from 1 species